rnacentral:lncRNA from 1 species
GGGUAAAAUUAAUUACUAGAAGUUGUUUAGAGAAAUAAUUGGUUAAGAACCAACCCAUAGAUGCAUAUAGAUUGGUCGUCCAUAGUCCGACUAUUAUACAGUCUGUGUGGAUUCCAGUACCCACUAAGAAAUUAAAGUAAUCUUUGAAUUAGAGAUAGAGGCUACCAAUUCAUAUAAAAUAGUGAAAGAAUCUUUAGACUAAAGUUCAAAUCUUUAGAAUUAAAUAAUUUAUAUACUAAUAGAUCUUUUUAUUUUUCUUUCAAUUAUGGCUAGUCAUUUGUUGCUCCGCUCACUAUCAGACAGUGA